GUGUUUGAAAGCAGAGUUAUUCCGGAAACAAGAGGUACUCAGCAAAGAACGACUUCAAGAGAACUCUACUACAGUCAAGGCUAAACCUGUUCCUUAAGAAAGCAAGUAUCUGGACCAAGAAGAAUGACGGAGUUCAGUCCCGAGCUGAUAAAGUCCUUACAGCAGAAGAAGAAAAUGCAUUGGAUAAAUCAAGGGCAGCCUUAGAGGCCAAGUUAAAGCUCUAGGAGGAGAUGUCAAAAGGAGCCGUUCUGACAGCAGGUAAAGAGUUGUGC